rnacentral:tRNA from 2 species
GAUAGAGUAGAAUAAAAAGUUCAUUUCAUUUACACUGAAGGGGUUAAGAGGUCUUAUUCUGUUU